rnacentral:rRNA from 1 species
UGCAUUUGAAACUGGCAAGCUAGAGUCUUGUAGAGGGGGGUAGAAUUCCAGGUGUAGCGGUGAAAUGCGUAGAGAUCUGGAGGAAUACCGGUGGCGAAGGCGGCCCCCUGGACAAAGACUGACGCUCAGGUGCGAAAGCGUGGGGAGCAAACAGGAUUAGAUACCCUGGUAGUCCACGCUGUAAACGAUGUCGACUUGGAGGUUGUGCCCUUGAGGCGUGGCUUCCGGAGCUAACGCGUUAAGUCGACCGCCUGGGGAGUACGGCCGCAAGGUUAAAACUCAAAUGAAUUGACGGGGGCCCGCACAAGCGGUGGAGCAUGUGGUUUAAUUCGAUGCAACGCGAAGAACCUUACCUACUCUUGACAUCCAGA